rnacentral:rRNA from 1 species
GGGGUUGAAGCGGCGAAGCCUGACGCAGCACGCCGCGUGAGGGACGAAGGCUUUCUGAGUUGUAAACCUCUUUCGACAGGAACGAUUGUGACGGUACCUGUAGAAGAAGCACCGGCCAACUAUGUGCCAGCAGCCGCGGUGAUACAUAGGGUGCAAGCGUUAUUCGGAUUUAUUGGGCGUAAAGAGCUCGUAGGCGGUUCAACAAGUCGGGUGUUAAACCCCCAGGCUCAACCUGGGGCCGCCACCCGAAACUGUUGUGACUAGAGUUUGGUAGGGGAUCACGGAAUUCCUGGUGUAGCGGUGGAAAGCGCAGAUAUCAGGAGGAACACCAGUAGCGAAGGCGGUGAUCUGGGCCAAUACUGACGCUGAGGAGCGAAAGCGUGGGGAGCGAACAGGAUUAGAUACCCUGGUAGUCCACGCCGUAAACGGUGGGCACUAGGUGUGGGGACUUUUCAACGGUUUCCGCGCCGCAGCUAACGCAUUAAGUGCCCCGCCUGGGGAGUACGGUCGCAAGA